CCCGACUUUUAAAUGCCCGACUUUGUUUUGGUGUUUUUAGAGGAUGCAUAGGUCGGGGUUGCAUGAUGUGAUCGAGGUCAAGUGGUCGAGUUCGAGACUAACGAGAUCUAGAAUCAUCACUGGCCCCCGUGCAUCGAGGUCGUAGAUGCCGUUUCAUUCUGGUCUACGAGCGAAGAUGUAGAGACAUGAACGUCCAGAUGUUUCUCCACGUGUCGAGUGUUGGAUGGGAUGUCAGAGAACGAUCUCAGAUGACCGCCACGUGUAAUGUCAGAGCACGAGCUUAGAUUCUCGUCACGUGUCUUGGUCCAGGGGGUGAGAUUGCAUGAUCGUUGGUAUUCCUCAGUCCCCUAUAAAUAUCCCAAUUUUUACUCUCAUUUUUUCACUUUUAACUCUCAACUCCCAGUAAAUCGAGCUCGAGUUCGGGGAUUAGUAGUGUUUGUGAGCGACUAUCCACAGAGGUAAGAGUUCGAGCCCUUAAGUUGUUUUAUUUGAUUAUAGCAUAAUGUCGAGUAG
rnacentral:lncRNA from 1 species